AAUAUCUCUUUAUAUGCCCAGCACACCUCAUAUCUUGAUUUUUCGAACUUCGACCUCUCCGUAGAUGAUGCAUCUAUAUCACAGAGGAUGAGUGAGUCGGAAGAUACGUCGUACCGAUCCGAUGAGCAACACGUCGAUCAGCAUAGGAGGGCCAGAGGCAAAGGUCGACUCAGAGUUUCUCAAGGUAGAUAUAAGGCAUAUAUUGAUAGGCCAAGCAUGCC
rnacentral:lncRNA from 1 species